CUUUGCAUUAUUGACGUACAAACGUUAUUGAUACAGGAAGUGACAGACAGUUCUUCUGUUGUGUCAGAUCCUGUUCAAUAUAAAUACUUGCAAUGUUGUUAAAGUAGACAUAUCACAUUGAUUGCGUUUGAACAACUUCUUCACGCACAUCCUUGAAAUGCUGACUUGCACCACGAAUGCUGUCUUCCCACAACGGCGACUGAUGAGAGAGCCGUGGUGUAUUCAUGGACUGCCGGUGGUCUCCAGGGGCCGCCUCGCCCCCUUCAGCUCUAUUAAAUACCUCUAAAGUGUAUAAUUGCUGAUCAGAGAGGCUGUUUGGUGUGUAACGGCCUUCUUUCUCAGAGAGGAGGAUGGUGGGAGGGGGAGAAGGAAGGAACGCUACACCUCAGGUAUCAUUUGUUCACAGCGGCUGGUUGCUGGUUGCAAGCAGUGGAAGACACACAGCGGAGUGGUUCAGUCAAUGGGAGCAGUGGUGUCUCUUUACCGGGGCCUUUGUGUGGAGAACAGGUUGGGUUGUAGCAUUGUGGCUCUAACCGGCAGAGCGGACAUAGAUCCAGUUAAUAACUAAAGGGCCCCACUACACAGUGGGAUCCCUAUCUGCCUGCCACACUGACCUCUGAGAGGGGCUACCCAGGGGGCCUUGGUGUCCCUGUCCCCCAGUCACAAUGAGGGGCAUCCAGCAUCGCCCUCCACCCCCACCCCCCUCCCUCCAGACAGCCCACCUGCCCAGCUACCCCCCCAUCCCCCAGAGUGAUGUCUGUGUGCGUCCAGGGCCGGCAUUCCACUCGGACACUGAUGCAGAGUGACCAAAGUGACCGUUUCACACAAGCUGCCCUCCAGUAGAGCUGUGCUGGAGCCAGACUCAGGCAGGCCUGAGAGGACCGGGGACAGGAGGGGACACAGGAUGGACAUCCUUAACUGGAAGGCGACAGACUCUGGUCUGUUUGUCUAGAAGGCCGUUUUAAGGCAGCUGCCAACAUAUUUAAGUCAUGGACAUUACUGUCUGAGAUCACACAACUGUAUUUUAUAGAAUGUUCCCAACACAAGAACAGACUUUGGUACGAGUGCUUAUAGCUUGGCUGCCCCAUCAUAUCGGAACACUUUGCAGAAGGAUUUUAAGACUCGAUCAUUUUAUUCCGAUUGAUGGUUUUAAAUCCCGGAUUGGAGGGCUGCUGUCCACAGAUUGCACAUUUUUAAACCUGCUCUGUAUGUUCAGUCAGUCACUUUUCACUGUUUUAACCUCUACUCGUUGUUCUGCUUCAUACUGUGCCGUGUGGAACUAUAUGUAUGCUGCCCUCAGUCUUGGCCAGGGCUCACUUGAAAAAGAAAUGUUGUCUCAAUGUGACCUCUGGUUAAAUAAAGGAUACAUAAAACAUCAAAUGAGAGAGACAGGACAAAGGGAGAUACGUCUCCACAAAGACAACAGCAGAGAGCUGCAAAAAACAACUAGUCAUCAGAAUCACAGAAUGAAAUGCAAGCAAGAGAGGGAGAGAUACAAGCCUAUGUAGAAUAGCUUUUUGAAAUGACAACAGAGUUAUAGAUAUGCGUAGUGUUUAACACCACUAAACGAGUAGGGAUCAUAUGUGACUGGAAAUGAUAUCUGUUAAUGAAGUGAAGAAGAUUCACACCUUUUUAGUUUGUAUAAUUAUAUUUAACUAUAAUUAAUUAUAUUUACCUUUUAUCUUGUUCUUAUUACGUAAGUACAAUGUUAAUAUGUACUCUAGUUGGAUAUUAUAAUAUUUAUUAUUUUGUUUUGUCA
ensembl:lncRNA